rnacentral:lncRNA from 1 species
UUUCUUUCUCUCUCUCUGCCUCUCCAUAGAUUGUUUCUGUUUCAUGCCCUGUCUCAUUUCGCAUAGCUAAAAAAGAAUGCUAAUUAAGAUCCCUUGUCUUAACCUGAAAAAUAAUGACUCGGCUGUAAUUAGAAAUCUGGUGAGAGUUUAAAAAUUCUGGUAGGGGACCAAAAACAUCAGUUACGGUGCUUAGGAAGAAAAUGAAGAAUUAUUUUUCUGAAAUCAAGAUGGAUCUGAGAACGCUGUCUGGGCUUGGUACCAAGAGCUGGUAUUUCACAGCAGCGACCGCCUCACAGACGAGCUGUGGGAAGCAGGAGGGAGACUCUCUCUUAGGGUGCCACUACUAUGGAGACACAGCUGGGCUGAACAAGAUUUGCUUCAAACGACAACAAGAGAGACAGAAAGUAUCUGGUUCAACCGCUGCCCGAGCAGGCAGGCACCAGAAGAGCUAGCAGCCAAUCCGGCCAUGCUCGAAGCCAGCUCUGCAGCUCAGCCAAUCAGUGACAUCAUUGCUUUCUUUAGCUUGCCCAUGGUGAUGUGAAGAUGAGAAGAAAUAGCAAGGCCCAACCAGUUCUUCAUCUGGAGACAGUUCAACGUUCUGCAAACCAGAUCUUCAGGAAUUUUACUGGGAUAAUUAUCCAAAUAAAUUGCAAGCAUUCUAUCCAAAUGGACAUCCAUAAAAAUUCAUCAGAGAGCAUUUUACUACUGAGCUGCAAAGGUAGGAAAAAUAAAUUUUUUUUGGUUAGAAAAUAUACUUCUUUCAUCUGCGUUUCAAUAAUUUAUUCCCCUUGUUAGAUAUACAUGGAAUUGAUAUUGCUUAUUCUGACUAAGUGAAAAGUGUUAUUUCUACUUACUGCUCAAUUAGAAACAUGUAGUGUUUAAUUGUCAGUUUGAAUUUUUCUUUCAUACUAUUACAGUUUAUAUUUUACUAUAGGCAGAAUUUCCUCUUUAUCCUAAAUUUUGAUAUUCUCCAUAAUUUCAUCGUGCCUUGACAUUGCUGUAUAUAAUUUCUAUACAUCAGGAAGGCAAUUCUGUGUGCAUGUGUGUGUGUAUAUAUAUAGUUAGAAGUUAGAAACUGAAACUCUUUUUUGUCUACCAUCAUUUCAUAUUUUUCUUGCUAUUUCAAACCUAUAAUUUUUAAAGAAACGACUAACGUAAUCAUUCAUAGAAUAUGCUGUCAGUAACUUAACAAUAUAAAUGUUAACAUGGAGGCAUUUAGUUCAGCAUUUGCUUUACUUAAUAGAGUGCAGAAAAUGUGGCCCUUUUCUCAGUUAGGGUGUAUGUGAAGAUAAAUUUAGAAUUUCUAGACUAGUAAAUACUUCUCUGAUAAUAACUUAAUUAUAGCUAUUUCAAACCAAAUUGUUUAAUUGUGGUGAAUCAUAUGUAAAUUGUUCAGAUGUAGGUCAACACCCACGCCCACAUUCUAGCACCUCUUUCCUAAUUCAAGACAACUUUGCAGUGCCUAAAAGAGCUGAACAGUGCAGAUUAGAGACAUAAGACAAAAAAAAAAAAAAAA